GGAGCAGGAACUGGAAUUGAGCAAGCUUCAGCAGUAAACUCAACUUUGAAGCAUUGGGGUGUCAGUGAUUAUGUCAAAGCGGUGUGCUUUGAUACUGCAUAUACAAAUACAGGCAUUCAUCGUGGCGCUGGCGUAGAACUAGAGAAUCUUUUAGGGCGAAAGCUCAUUUGGUUGCCAUGUCGUCAUCACGUCAUUGAACUACUCAUUAAAGGUGUUUUUGAAGUAUACUGGCCAACGCAAAAUGGCCCAAAUGUUUCAAUUUUUGGUAGAUUCAAAAAUAAUUGGAACAAGAUAGAUAAAUCAAAAUACAGUGCAGGAAUUAAUGAUCCUAUUGUUGCUAAAGUACUAUCAGAGAAAAAAGACGAAACAUUGGAUUUUAUUGAAAGUUAUUCGCUGAAAUAUCUUCCGAGGAAUGAUUACCCAGAA